UGGCUUGAGUUCCCAACUUUGGAAGUGAAAUUGUCUAUGAUCUUUCAUUUUUCACCUCUCAAGUAAAUCCACUAACAAUAUCAGCUUAGUAGACAAGAAUUUUCUCACAAAGUAACCUUCAUCUUCAUGCUUUUUGUUAAACUUACAGAAUCAAUGGAAAUGUUGAAUCUUCCUUCCUCAUAUCUUCAAUGAGUUGACUUGAUCUAUACAUAGCUAAAAGCAGUA
rnacentral:lncRNA from 1 species